UACGGGGGGGGUAAGCGUUGUUCGGAAUUACUGGGCGUAAAGGGCUCGUAGGCGGCCAACUAAGUCAGACGUGAAAUCCCUCGGCUUAACCGGGGAACUGCGUCUGAUACUGGAUGGCUUGAGUUUGGGAGAGGGAUGCGGAAUUCCAGGUGUAGCGGUGAAAUGCGUAGAUAUCUGGAGGAACACCGGUGGCGAAGGCGGCAUCCUGGACCAACACUGACGCUGAGUGAGCGAAAGCCAGGGGAGCAAACGGGG
rnacentral:rRNA from 1 species